rnacentral:ncRNA from 1 species
UUAAAGACUAUGAUAGGAAGAGUAGAUAAAGGAGGUAUCCAAAGCGAGCCAGUGACGGUGCAAGACUGGUGUUACAUCUUUAUUGAAGAACAUCCUUGAGUUUCUAACUGAAAUCUAUAAGAAAGUAGGCUUAGAGGUAUUCAGUACCUUAUAACUGAUGCAUGAAUUUAUAUAAUUCAUGCUUAUUUGAGUGGUCAUUUAGACAAAUUGGGUGGUACCGCGAAGUCAGUCUUUCGUCCCUUUA